GACUGUGAUCAAGUGGCAUGGCUGCCUGGAAUGCUGCGUGGAUGGUGAUUCCAAGGCCAGGUCUGUGAUCAAUGGGAGAGUGCCUGGAUUGAUUACUGAUGCCUGGCGUGGGCAUGUGAACACUGGGCAUCGUGGCUCUGAAUGUUCAUAGCAUCUCUGGGGCGUCACUCACUGUGAUCAUGACCGAGUUCCAGGUGGCAGAGAAGACGUCUGUGUCGUUAUUGCCCUGGUAGUGCUUGGUGAGCUCCUUGGUGAAGAAUUCUCGGGUGAGCUGGGGGCAGAGGGAGAAGAUGGGCUUAGGCCUGGCAGUUGGGUGCAGCCCCCACCCUCCAUCGUCUCUCCAUCCACCUGCUUGGGAGUUGGGGGAAUGAGAGCUAGGGGCUCUGCAUCCUGGUGCCAGGUCCCCUGGGAUUCUCCUAAACCACCAACUUGGGGCAGUCUUCUUAUCCCCAGUGGAGAAAGGAAGUCCAUACACAUGCACAUCUCGGUGGAGCCGAGGUCAGGGCACGCUGAGGACCUCACUCCACCUGCAGCUCUGCCCAGAGGGAGGGCUUAUCUGGGUGGGGAGUUUGCACCUCACCCCACCCCUUCCACCUGAGCUGUUCCCCAGACAGAGCCAAGCAGAUGCCCUGGGUCCCAGGGCCUGAAGAAGCUACAGGACCGGGCAGGAAGUCUUUGUACAUCAGUUUCCAGAGGAGUCCUCCACAGUUUCUCCUACUCCCAAAAUAUUCUCCUUCCCUCCUGCUGCAGUCAAAGGCUAGGGCCCUGGGUGGUGCCCAGCAGAGGAGACCAUCUGGGCACCAUUGUCUGCUCACAGGCUGUGGUGGCCUCCUCCUCUGCUCCGUGCUGGCUACCCUCCCCGCCCGCCUCCUCUACCCCAGGGCCAUUUUGUGUCUCCUGCCCCAUUGCCCCUCCUCCCCUCCCAUCUUUCUCCAACCCCCCGCCCCAGUCUCCCUUUGGCUAUGGUGCCUGGCUCUGGUCAACUCAGGGGAGGCAGCUGGCACUCCAGCUGCCUGUGGCCUCUGGAACUUGGUGGCUUGUGGGGCCAAGGUACCCAGGAGGAUACCAGCCAGGGCCUCCUCCGAGAGCAGUCUGCCCUGUGCUCCUACAUUCCAGCCUCUCCGACUAUUCUGACUGUCUCACUAUCACUGGGCCGUUACUAGGCAAGGUUUGGAAGGGAUGUUUCCAGAAUAAGGUAUGGGGUUGUACCAGAUGCUUUGGGAGCAGAGAAAAGCCCUUGCAGGAACAGGCUUACUGGGGUCUCUCCCUGGUCUGCGGGGCCUUGCCAGGCGGGUGGGGCCAUGACUUGGGCUGGAAGUGCCAGAUGAGAGGCUGCCCACUCUCUGAGACCCUUCAAGGAGGGGAGGAGCCAGACCUGAAUGGCCACCAACCCCUUGCUGAUAGCAGGAGGCAGGAAAGCUUGGGGCCUGAUACGUACAUUUUCCCUGAAGAUGAAGGCCAGGAUGGCUGCUGAGAGCUCUGCCAGGAAGAUGAUCAGGAUGAACAGGAAGAACUGCAGGGAGAGGAACAGCCUUGUGAGCCCAGAGGGCAGGCAGGGGAUGGGGCGGCCACUGGCCAAUGCAUCCGUCCAUCUGUCACACCAGUGACGCAGUAUACUCAUUUUGUAAGAUUAAGGCACUCCACUGCUAUCAGACAUUUUUCAUAACAAACACACCAGUGAUUCCUCCUUGGAGUCAACAGGAUUGAGAUCAAAAUAUGAAAAGAAUAAACAAAUAUAUACCUUC
rnacentral:lncRNA from 1 species